AGGUGUCCACAUAGUAGGGUUGCUGCUAGCAGGGCCACCAUGGACUAGAAGUGUCAUCCCAUGAGGAAAGGUUAUUCCCUAGCCCUGUCUCCACCUCAGUCCUUUCAGAUGGGAGAUGUGCCACAUCCCUAACCCAUGACUGCCCUCACAGAUCUCUCCUGGGACAUGCCAGGAGGUGCCUCUUGGGAGCUCCAUCACACCAAGUCUGGGGAACCACGCCAUCCAACAUGCUGUUGGAUGGGAGGCCAUGGGAAGAAUGACUGCUAAAGAUGCUCCUAAGCACAUGUGGUGGCUUCAGACGUGGAUUAGCUCAGGACUUCAUCCCUGGAUUUAGAUUUAAAGCUCUAAAAUGGGGAAAAAAUGAGCCCCUAGGAUGAUGACAGAUUCACAAGGGACAAUGAGGAGGAACCUUCCCCUCCACAGGUAUGGUUGGAGCUUGUCUACACCAUGGUGAAGUCAGAUCUUCAUCUGGAAGAUCUUCUUCCCUUCGUCCUAUCUGGAAAUUAACCUAUUCACUUUCUCGUAGGUGACCUUCUUUCUCUUCACUCUCUCCUUCUCCUGAAAAGCAGGAAAAGGAUGCAUGAUGGGCACAAACCCCAUAGAGAUGUAGGUUGACUUAUUUUGCUCUUCUCAAAGUUUAAUGCUCCUUUCAGGUUCCCUGCUCUGGCUAAGUUCAGUAAUGGAGUGAGGCAGUCCUGGCUUUAGAU